rnacentral:lncRNA from 1 species
CCUAGCCUGGGAACCUCCAUAUGCCGUGGGUAUGGCCCUAAAAAGACACAAAAAAGAAAGGAAGAGAAAAGAAAAACAACAGAGCCCUGAGGGUGGUAGAACAACAGCUUUAAAGUGCUAAAAGGGGAAAAAAAAAAAACCCCCACCCUGUCACCCUAGAAUUUUCUAUCCAGUAAAGAAACGAUUAUAAGUGAAGAUGAAAUAAAAAUAUUCCCGACCCAUGAAAUGUGAGCAAAUUCACUGCUGCUAGCACUGUGCUGCCAGAAAUGCCAAAAGCUGGUUUUUGGGUCUAGAGGAAAGAACACUGCAUGGAAGCCCGGAUCUGCAGGAAAGAAUGAAGAGCACCGGAGACGGCAAACGUGCGGGCGCCUGUAAAUACUGUUUUGUCUCUUAAUUUCUUCCCAACAUAGCUGCUCGUUUAAAAUCCCGUGGAUGCAGUUCCCAUUGUGGCUCAGGGCAAACGAAUCUGACUAGUAUACACGAGGACCCAGGGAUUGAGCCUGCGUCCUCCCGGAUACUAGUCAGAUUCGUUUCCACUGAGCCAUCAUGGGAACUCCAAAACACAGAUUUUAUUAAAGGCAAAAGAGUUAUCAUACAAAUGGUAUGCAUAAGAAAGUUAUGUGGGGAGUUCCUGACGUGGUGCAUCGGAAAUGAAUCCGACUAAUAUCCACGAGGUUGCAGGUUCAAUCCCUGGCUUCGCUCAGUGGGUUAAGGAUCCAGUGUUGCCAUGAGCUGAGGUGUAGGCCACAAAUGCGGCUCGUCUCUGACGAUGCUGUGGCCAUAGCGUUGGCUGGUAGCUGCAGCUCCCAUUGGACCCCUAGCCUGGGAACUUCCAUAUGCCACAGGUAUGUGGCCUUAAAAGGAAAAAAAAGAAAGUUAUGUGGCUGUAUUAAUACCAAAGCCCUUCAGGACAAGCAGUAUUGUAAAGAACUGGAGCUCUCACGAUCUCUAAUGAGGGAGAAAUAAAUGCCCUGAACGUGUCCCUACCUGACCAGAGCUUCAAAAUAUGUGAAGAGAAAAAUGGAGAGUCACGAGAGAGAAAGAGCAAAUCUAAAAUCACAGUAGGAGGUCUGAUGCCCCUCUCAACAACUGUCAGAACAAGGAUAGAGGACAUAAGCGUGUAGCUCUGACACGGUUCACCACGCCGACUCUUAGAGACAUAUGCCCACCGACGGCCAAGUGCACACGGAACCCCCGCCAACAGAGACCGUAGGCACAAAACAAGGCUCAACAAAUUUCAAAGGAUUAAAUUUCACAGAGUAUUUUCUCUGUAACAUUAAAAACCAGUAACAAUAAGAUACCUAGAAAAUCCCCAACUAUUUGAAGUUAGCACAUUUCUAAGCAACUCAUGCAUCAAAGAGACUCCAGGGCAAAUUAGAAAAUAUUUUGGACUGAAUAGUAAUAAAAAACAAAACACAUCAAAAUGUGUGGGAUGUAGCUUAAGCAGUGCUUGGAGAGUCUAUAAGCUUUAAAGUCCUUGAUUAGAAAAGGAGUUCCCGCUGUGGCACAGGGGGUUAAGAACCCUACUGCAGCGGCUUGGAUUGCUGCAGAGGUGUGGUUAGAUCCCUGGCCCAGCGCAGUGGGUUAAAGGAUCCAGAGUAGGUUGUAGCUGUGGCUCGGAUUCAAUCCCUGGCGUGGGAACUCAAUAAAUAAAGAAGAAAAACUUGGAAUCAGUGAUCUAUAUUCUCAGCUUAAGAAUCUAGAAAAAGAGGAGCAAGUUCAACCCAAAGUAAUUAAAAGGAGAUAAAUCCCAAAGAUCAAAGCAGUAAUUGAUGAAACAGAAAAAAGUGCAAACAAUAGAAAAUAUCAACAAAGCCAAAAUUUGGUUCUUUGAAAAAGAUGAAUGCAUCAAGUAACACACAUCAAGAAAUAAAAAGAGAAAAUAUAAAUGAUCAAUAUCAGGAAUGAGAGAAGUUUUAUCUUAAAAGACAUUAAAAAGGAUUACCAGGGAAUAUUGUGAAAAACUUUAUAUACUAACUAGCAAUUUAGAUGAAAUGGACAGAUGCUUUGAAAAACACAACUUAUCAAAAUCUCAAGAGGAAAAAGAAUAUAUUAAUUUUUUUUUUGUCUUUUUGCUAUUUCUUUGGGCUGCUCCUGCAGCAUAUGGAGGUUCCCAGGCUAGGGGUCUAAUCAGAGCUGUAGCCGCCAGCCUACGCCAGAGCCACAGCAACGCGGGAUCCAAGCCGUGUCUGCAACCUACACCACAGCUCACGGCAACGCCGGAUCAUUAACCCACUGAGCAAGGGCAGGGACCGAACAUGCAAUCUCAUGGUUCCUAGUCGGAUUCGUUAACCACUGUGCCACGACAGGAACUCCUAUUAAAUUUUUAAAUUCAUAAAAAUAUUCCCAGUUAGCUGGGUACAUAAAUUAUACACAAUAUUAAGAAAAAAGUGGAAACUUAGGCACACUUUUUCAGAAAAUGAGUAGAUAACUUUUCAAAUCAUUUUAAAAUGAUACCAUAACCCUCAUACCAAGUUCUGAAAAGAUACUUCAAGAAAAGAAAUUAUAGACCAUGAACUUCCACAAAUAAAAAUUUUUAAAAGUCCUUAAUGAUAUUAAGUACGAUUCAGCAGCAUAUGAAAACAAGAACACAUGAUCAAGUGGCGAGUAUCCCAAGAAUGCAAAGUUGAUUCAGCAUUCAAAAAUCAGUCAGUGCAAUGCAUGACAUUAACAGAACGAAGGAAAAAAGUGUAAGAUCAUCUCAUCAAUAGAAAAAGCACUUGAUACAACGCAACACUUUGUAACUCUCAGCAAGCUAGCCAUAGAAAGGAAUUUUCUCAGUUGAUGAAGGGCGUCUAUUAAAAUUUACAGCUAAUCACAUGCUUAACUGUGAAGUAUUGAGCACUUUCUCCAUAAGAUCAGGCACAAGACAAGAAUGUCCACUCUCACUGCUUCUAUUCGCAUUGCACCAGAAAUCCCUAUCAGUGCAAUAAGAAAGAGAAAUAGGAGUUCCUGUCGUGGCACAGUGGAAACGAACUGACUGGCAGCCAUGAGGAUGCCAGUUCGAUCUCUGGCGUCACUCAGUGGGUUAAGGAUCUGGCGUUGCCAUCAGCUGUGGUGUAGGUUUGCAGACACAGCUUAGAUCCUGUGUGGCUGUGGCUGUGGUGUAGGCUGGCAGCUACAGCUCCAAUUCGACCCCUAGCCUGGGAACUUGCAUAUGCU